AGAGGCUCCUGCUCACAGAUGUUUCAGCACAGGGAAGUUCUCCUGUCCUCCCAACUAAGGCCACUGUCAGCAUCAUGAUUGGAGUACUGGCCAGGGUGGCUCUGAUAUAGCAGCUUUGGUGUAGUUUCUGCAUUUCAGGAAGACUGGCGGGUAUGAUGGCCUUUCCUCUUGUCCUGUUUCCUGCAGGGCUGACUGCCAUGCUUGGGAGAGGGACCUAUAUCCCAGGACUGGAUCUCC
rnacentral:lncRNA from 1 species